AACGUAGCUCAGUUGGUAGAGCAGCUGAUUCGUAAUCAGCAGGUCGCGGGUUCGAGUCCGUUA
rnacentral:tRNA from 1 species